GAGGGUAUAGCUCAGUGGUAGAGCACAUGCUUAGCACGCACGAGGUCCUGGGUUCAGUCCCCAGUACCUCCU
rnacentral:tRNA from 1 species